rnacentral:rRNA from 1 species
ACAAGCGGAGGAACAUGUGGUUUAAUUCGAUGAUACGCGAGGAACCUUACCUGGGCUAGAACGCACUCGGAAUCAGGCCGAAAGGCCUGCGCCAGCGAUGGCCGCUUGCGAGGUGCUGCAUGGUUGUCGUCAGCUCGUGCCGUGAGGUGUCGGGUUAAGUCCCAUAACGAGCGCAACCCCUACUGCUAGUUGCCAGCGGGUCAUGCCGGGGACUCUAGCGGAACUGCCAGCGUAAGCUGCGAGGAAGGUGGGGGAUGACGUCAAAUCAGCACGGCCCUUACGUCCAGGGCUACACACGUGUUACAAUGGCCGGUACAGAGGGCAGCCACCCCGCGAGGGGGCGCGAAUCCCGAAAGCCGGUCCCAGUUCGGAUCGGAGUCUGCAACCCGACUCCGUGAAGCUGGAUUCGCUAGUAAUCGCGCAUCAGCCACGGCGCGGUGAAUACGUUCCCGGGCCUU